UACGUAGGGAGCAAGCGUUGUCCGGAAUCAUUGGGCGUAAAGCGCGCGUAGGCGGCCUUGUAAGUCCGUUGUGAAAGUCAAAGGCUCAACCUUUGAAAGCCGAUGGAUACUGCAAGGCUGGAGUCCGGAAGAGGCGAGUGGAAUUCCUGGUGUAGCGGUGGAAUGCGCAGAUAUCAGGAGGAACACCAAUAGCGAAGGCAGCUCGCUGGGACGGUACUGACGCUAAGGCGCGAAAGCGUGGGGAGCGAACAGGA
rnacentral:rRNA from 1 species